GGUCUUGUAACUCAGUUGGUAGAGUGCCACCCUUACAAGGUGGAGGUCGCAAGUUCGAGUCUUGCCGGGACCACCA
rnacentral:tRNA from 2 species